rnacentral:rRNA from 1 species
AGUUUGAUCCUGGCUCAGGAUGAACGCUAGCUACAGGCUUAACACAUGCAAGUCGAGGGGCAGCAGAACGAUAGCUUGCUAUUGUUGCUGGCGACCGGCGCACGGGUGAGUAACGCGUAUCCAACCUUCCCUGUACUAGAGGAUAGCCCGGCGAAAGUCGGAUUAAUACUCUAUGUUAUUCAAAGCGGGCAUCUAAUUUGAAUCAAAGGUUUACCGGUAUAGGAUGGGGAUGCGUCUGAUUAGGUUGUUGGCGGGGUAACGGCCCACCAAGCCUACGAUCAGUAGGGGUUCUGAGAGGAAGGUCCCCCACAUUGGAACUGAGACACGGUCCAAACUCCUACGGGAGGCAGCAGUGAGGAAUAUUGGUCAAUGGACGAAAGUCUGAACCAGCCAAGUAGCGUGCAGGAUGACGGCCCUAUGGGUUGUAAACUGCUUUUAUACAGGGAUAAAGUCAGUUACGUGUAACUGUUUGUAGGUACUGUAUGAAUAAGGACCGGCUAAUUCCGUGCC